GGGGAAUAUUGGACAAUGGGCGAAAGCCUGAUCCAGCAAUGCCGCGUGAGUGAUGAAGGCCUUAGGGUUGUAAAGCUCUUUUACCCGGGGUGAUAAUGACGGUACCAGCAGAAGAAGCCCCGGCUAACUCCGUGCCAGCAGCCGCGGUAAUACGGAGGGGGCUAGCGUUGUUCGGAAUUACUGGGCGUAAAGCGCACGUAGGCGGACCAGAAAGUUGGGGGUGAAAUCCCGGGGCUCAACCUCGGAACUGCCUUCAAAACUAUUGGUCUUGAGUUCGAGAGAGGUGAGUGGAAUUCCGAGUGUAGAGGUGAAAUUCGUAGAUAUUCGGAGGAACACCAGUGGCGAAGGCGGCUCACUGGCUCGAUACUGACGCUGAGGUGCGAAAGCGUGGGGAGCAAA
rnacentral:rRNA from 1 species